UACGGGGGGAGCAAGCGUUGUUCGGAUUUACUGGGCGUAAAGGGCGCGUAGGCGGUAGCACAAGUCAGUUGUGAAAUCUCCGGGCUUAACUCGGAAAGGUCAACUGAUACUGUGCGACUAGAGUGCAGAAGGGGCAACUGGAAUUCUCGGUGUAGCGGUGAAAUGCGCAGAUAUCAGGAGGAACACCGGUGGCGAAGGCGGCUCUCUGGGACGGUACUGACGCUGAGACGCGAAAGCGUGGGGAGCGAACAGG
rnacentral:rRNA from 1 species